GACGAACGCUGGCGGCGUGCUUAACACAUGCAAGUCGAACGGAAAGGCCCCUUUGGGGGUACUCGAGUGGCGAACGGGUGAGUAACACGUGAGUAACCUGCCCUUGACUUCGGGAUAACUUCAGGAAACUGGGGCUAAUACCGGAUAGGAAUCCUUGCUGCAUGGUGGGGGUUGGAAAGCUUCGGCGGUUUUGGAUGGACUCGCGGCUUAUCAACUUGUUGGUGGGGUAGUGGCUUACCAAGGCUUUGACGGGUAGCCGGCCUGAGAGGGCGACCGGCCACAUUGGGACUGAGAUACGGCCCAGACUCCUACGGGAGGCAGCAGUGGGGAAUAUUGCACAAUGGGCGGAAGCCUGAUGCAGCAACGCCGCGUGCGGGAUGACGGCCUUCGGGUUGUAAACCGCUUUCAGCAGGGGCGAAGCUUGUGGUGACGGUACCUGCAGAAGAAGCACCGGCUAACUACGUG
rnacentral:rRNA from 1 species